GUGUUCUUGUUCUUAAUGUAUCUUUAGACAGCAGCAAGCUUCGCCACUGCCUUCGUAGGAAGCUGGGAGAGGACAAGAAGGUGCUUCUUCAGGAGAUGCAGACAUACAAUGCCUCUGCUCUAUCAGAGACUGAAAAAAUGGAUGUGGCUGUUGUGGAGCAUGCAUUGACUGGAGAGUGCACUGUGUCCCCUUUGUGGCCAUGGGAGGAUCAUGGCAUGGCAAACAUCACAAUCAAGAAGAGGGUGUAUGACCAAGUGAUGCUCACCAUGAGACUGCAAGAGGAGAAAAGCAUUUUGGUGUUGGAGAUGGUACAACAUUGCACAUGGUUGCAGAAGAAGGCAGAUGAACUUCGAAACAAGGUGGCUGAGAAUGGCAAGACCGACGAAGGACUUUGCUGUCUCUUUAAAGGACAACUUUCAGAGGUGUCAGAGCAGUUGCAAGUAGUCAUGCACCAGUACAAGACUGCUUUAGGCCCUGAGGCCUCUGCCCUUCAAAUGGAGGAGGAGGAGGAGGAUCAAAGGGCCCUCAGCAGUCCAGACAGCAGUGAAGAUGAAGACAUCGCC